rnacentral:rRNA from 1 species
AAUCAACGCUGGCGGCGUGCCUCAGACAUGCAAGUCGAACGAGAAAGUUUCCUUCGGGGAAUGAGUAAAGUGGCGCACGGGUGAGUAACACGUAGGUAAUCUACCUUCGGGUGGGGAAUAACCCAGGGAAACUUAGGGCUAACACCGCAUAAUGCAGCGGCACCACAUGGUGACAGUUGUUAAAGCGGGGGAUUUUAGGACCUCGCGCCUGAAGAGGAGCCUGCGGCGGAUUAGCA